rnacentral:rRNA from 1 species
UACCAUCAUACCACCAUGAGCAUACCAAACCUAUCUGAUCUCAGAAGCUAAGCAGGGUCUGGGCUGGCUAUUGCUUAGAUGGGAGACCGUCAUGGUGCUUCAUAGCUCUCCAGGUAA